UACCCAACAGCUAGCCUCCCCCUCCCCUACACACACAUUUUACUAAUUAAUAACACCACAGACACUAACCAAACAAAAACAAACCAUUUUUCCCCCUUAGUAUGGGCGACAGAAAAGGGACACUUGACGCAAUAGAGAAAGUACCGCAAGGGAAAGCUGAAAGAGAAAUGAAACAGCCCAAAAGACAAGAAGCAAAGAUUUCACCUUGUACCUUUUGCAUCAUGAUUUAGCAAGUAAUUUUUAGGCAAAGACCCCUUAAGUCUAAAGCCCCGAAACUAAACGAGCUACUUCAAGACAGCCUAUUAGGGCCAACCCGUCUCUGUGGCAAAAGAGUGGGAAGAUCUUCAAGUAGCGGUGAAAGACCUACCGAGCUUAGUGAUAGCUGGUUGCCUAUAAAAAGAAUAGAAGUUCUGCCUUUGCCUUUCUUUCCUCCACAAAAGUAAACUGCUUGUGACCCAAAGAUAAAAGCAAAGAGUUAGUCAAGGGAGGGACAGCUCCCUUGAAAAAAAUACAAUUAUUUAGAAGGUUAAAGAUUAAAAACAAGUGCUUCAGUGGGCUUAAAAGCAGCCACCUUAAAAAAAAGCGUUAAAGCUUAAAUAAAAUAAAAACUUAAAUAAUAAUAAUAAAGUCUUAAACCACUAAAAAUAAUAGGCCCUUCCAUGCAACCAUGGAAGAGAUAAUGCUAAAAUGAGUAAUAAGAGGGUAAGACCCUCUCCCCCUCCUACGUGUAAAUCAAAAAGCUCUGAUAAUUAACGCCCCCAAAAGAGGGCAAUGAGUAACCCUAGCAAUAAACAAGAAAACCACCCAAUAUUUUAACGUUACCCCAACACAGGAAGGAAAAAGGGAAAGACUAAAAGGAAAAGAAGGAACUCGGCAAACCUAGGCCCCGCCUGUUUACCAAAAACAUCGCCUCUUGACCCCCGCCUAUAAGAGGUCCCGCCUGCCCUGUGACAUUGUUUAACGGCCGCGGUAUUUUGACCGUGCUAAGGUAGCGUAAUCACUUGUCUUUUAAAUGAAGACCUGUAUGAAUGGCAUGACGAGGGCUAAGCUGUCUCCUUUUCCAAGUCAAUGAAAUUGAUCCCCCCGUGCAGAAGCGGGGAUAGGCCCCUAAGACGAGAAGACCCCAUGGAGCUUUAGACCUAUGCCGGCUAUGUUUAACAAAUUAAUUUCCAGGUUAAACCAAAUAUUCCCCUGCAGCAAGUCUUUGGUUGGGGCGACCGUGGAGAAACAAAAACCCCCCAUGUGGAAAAAUAGUUGUACUAUUUUAAAAUAGAGACACCCCUCUAAUUUUCAGAACAUCUGACCAAAAAGAUCCGGCAAAGCCGACCAACGGACAAAGUUACCCUGGGGAUAACAGCGCAAUCCUCUUCUAGAGCCCCUAUCGACAAGAGGGUUUACGACCUCGAUGUUGGAUCAGGACAUCCUAAUGGUGCAGCCGCUAUUAAGGGUUUGUUUGUUCAACAAUUAAAGUCCUACGUGAUCUGAGUUCAGACCGGAGAAUCCAGGUCAGUUUCUAUCUAUGAAUGUUUUUUUCUAGUACGAAAGGACCGAAAAAAAGAGGCCAAUGAUUAAAGUAAGCCUCCCCCUUAACUGUUGAAUACAACUAAACAGGCAAGAGGACUUAAAAUUUAAGCUGAGAACAAGACAA
rnacentral:rRNA from 1 species